UACAGAGGGUGCGAGCGUUGUCCGGAAUCACUGGGCGUAAAGGGCGCGUAGGCGGCCUGAUAAGUAGGGGGUGAAAUCCUGUGGCUUAACUGCAGGGCUGCCUCCUAGACUGUUAGGCUCGAGCACGGUAGAGGCAGAUGGAAUUCCCGGUGUAGCGGUGGAAUGCGUAGAGAUCGGGAAGAACAUCGGUGGCGAAGGCGACUUCCUGGACCAAUACUGACGCUCAGGUGCGAAAGCGUGGGGAGCAAACAGG
rnacentral:rRNA from 1 species